rnacentral:rRNA from 1 species
GAUGAACGCUGGCGGCGUGCCUAAUACAUGCAAGUCGAGCGAACAGACGAGGAGCUUGUUCCGCUGACGUUAGCGGCGGACGGGUGUGUAACACGUGGAUAAUCCACCUAUAAGACUGGGAUAAUUUCGGGAAACCGGAGCUAAUACCGGAUAAUAUACUGAACCGCAUGGUUCAUUAGUGAAAGUCGGUUUUGCUGUCACGUAUCGAGGGAUCCGCGCCGGAUGAGAUAGUUGUUACGGUAACGGCUUACCAAGGCGACGAUGCGUAACCGACCUGAGGGGGUGAUAGGCCACCUGAGAACGGGGACACGCACCAGACGACUACGGGAGGCAGCAGUAGGGAAUCUGACGCAAUGGGCGAAAGCCUGACGGAGCAACGGCGCGUGUGUGAUGAAGGUCCUGGGAGCGGAAAACUCUGUUAUUGGGGAAGAACAGAUGUGUAAGUAACUAUACACGGCUUGACGGUACCUAAUCAAGAAGCCACGGCUAACUACGUG